GACCUUGCGAAGAGUCUGCUCAGAGGCCGUGGGUCUGCUGGCACUGCAUGGGCGCAGAUGCUGGGCAGAUGAGCUCUGUGUGGUGUUUUAGACAAAUAUGAUGACCUAGAGUAGGGCCAAACAGACAGGAGAGCCCAGGAAGCAGACCCUGGGAGAGGGGAGAUACCAGUUGGGCCAGCACACCUGAGGCUAUGGUCAAGGCCAUGAGGACCACAGUGUGGUGGGCACGGUGGCUGUGAAAGCCCCACUGCUGCCCAGCCAGCCCGAGACAAGCCAUGGGGAAGCACUCACCGGCCAGCCCCGUCAUAAUCUCCGCCAAUCCCGAUGAACUUGCAUCCAGUGACUGCCCUGAUGUGGUCGAAGUGAUCUGAAGAAUGGGAAGUCAGCAGUGUGGGGCUUCCAGGGCAGGGGUGGGGGUGAUGACUGGCCUCUGUUGAUUCCCCUUUUUGCAGCCUGUAGGCCAAACAGUCCAGUUCCUUCGUGGCCUGGCACCGAGAGUACCAACUCGAGGGCCCUGAGGUUUGAUCUGAAGUGAUCCCAGCUGGCUCUAGACUGGACUUCAGAUUUGGAGUGGACCCCAGAGCCCCCUGUUUGGGCCAUUUCCCACCCACGAUUCACCCUGCCUCCCAGUCUCCUUGAGAACCUGUGGGGGCUCCUUUCCCCGGGUGUGGAGGAUGAGAGAGGAACAAGAGUACAACUGAUGAAGACCCCAGAGACCUAAGGAGCUGUCCAGUCCCUUGGCCAGAGGCUGUGGUCUCCUCGGAAGCUUUGGUGGGAUGCAGGCAGCAUCUGGGAGAAGGCGCCUCGGAACUCACGUGCCCGCGUUGCCCAGGACCCCAAUUCCUUCCACCUCUCGGAUGCUGCUUUCUUUUCCCAGGGACAGAGCCAAGCUGUAAUUGACUCCUUGGGUAUUUCAAAGUCCCUGAUCCCAAGACUGAAGGAUGACUGCCUGCUGUUGUGAAAGGUGCGCUGAAUCGACAGUCCUGAGUUUUGAAGUUUUCCUGGAGGGGACGUGAGGGGAUUUCUCCAGGAUCGAUGGAACUCCUUUUGUGGUGCUUCAGUGCUUCCACCAUGAAGCGCUCAUUUCCCUAUGCACGUCCCCCCGCCCCACCCCACUGUUUCCUUUACUCUCUCUCCUCCCACCCCCAAUUCCCAGAAGAAGAUCUAGGAAUCAGGUCCAAACAUAAGAUCUUUGGAGAAUCCUUGCGUGUGUUUUUUUAAAUUUUUAUUGGAGUAUAGUUGAUUUACAAUGUUGUGUUAGUUCCGGGUGUACAGCAAAGUGAAGCAGUUAUACAUAUACAUAUAAUCCACUCUUUUUUAGACUCUUUUCCCAUACAGGUCAUUACAGAGUACUGAGUAGAGUUCCCUGUGCUAUACCGUAGGUCCUGAUUAGUCAUCUAGUUUAUAGGUAGUGUUGUGUAUAUGUCAAUCCCAAUCUCCCAAUUUAUCCCUCUCCCCUCCCCACUUUCCCCCCCUGGUAACCAUAAGUUUGUUUUCUACACCUGUGACUCUAUUUCGAAUCCUUGUGUUUUACUCUCGUCCUGAAACUAGAUAAAGCCUAGUCAUCAAUCAACAGGUGAGGAAGUAGAGCCAGGCAUUGGUUGAGUGUUGAUGUUUCUGGUACAAGCUGACUCUCCGCUCAUCAUCCCACACCUUCAUCAGCCAUCAUCAUGCUGUCUGUCACCUCCUCUUCUCUGAAGAAGGCCCGGGCCAUCUUUUGAAAAUACAAAGUCCAGCAUUGAGACCCUCCCAACUGAGAGAGCAGGAAGGGCCAGGGCUGCUGAGGUGCUCCCUGAACCCCACUCAGGGGAUCUGUGUUGUUCCCACCUGGGUGUAUUGUGUGGACCCCCUAAAAUUCCUCCAAACCUCUGCCUCUGCGCUUCCAGAUUGCCCCUGAUAGAAAUGAACAAUAAUCAUAAUACCCACCACGUACUGACCGCUGGUCUCUUGAGGGCUGCCUUGCCAUUGGACAACAUUUGUUGAGCUCCUACUGUUUGCCAGACAGCGGGUACAUGCUUUAUGUGUGUUUAGCCCUUCUGACAACACUGUGAUUUAGGACCUGUUAAUAUGUCUAUUUUGCUGAAAUGGAAACUGAGGUUCAGAGUGGUUAAAUAACAAGGAAAAGUCCAUGUUUUUACCCCCUACACUAAUAUAUAUGUAUAUUUGUGUAUAUAUAUUCUAUAUAUGUAUAUUUAACAUGUAUAUGAUGUUGACUGAAAAAAAUGCACAACCUCAAAGUUGAGAAAUAUGUUUUAUUGGGUGGGCAAAACUGAGGACUUAAGCCUGGGACACAGCCUCUCAGCUCUCUCUGAGGGACUGAUCCAAAAAGGAGAGGGAGGAGCCAUCAACUAUAGGAGUUUUUGCAACAAAGACCAGGUAAUCGGAACAUGGAAAGAUUCCUGUUAAUUAAAGAAAACCAGACAUCUCGA